AUGGAAAUGUUCUUAUACUUUCCAAAGAUGCUGAAGGGUGUCCCGUGCGUGAAUAUGGACACAUGGCUGGUAGUGUCUCUGUUCGUGUAUGUCCAGUUCUGCUUCAGUUUAGACUAUGAAGUGACACUGACUCCGAAUGGGAGCUCCCAGUGCCAAGGUGUCCAUCCCCCACUGAAGCUGGUUCAUCCAGCUCCUGCCACAAGUGGUGUUCAUCUGUCCAAAUGUAUUUCUGCAGGCAUGGAUGUGCCUCAGGACCAAAAGGGCACAGCAUGGAGGCGUCGUUGUGUUCUUUGCAAAAUGAAGUCCCCCAUCACCUGCACCACAUGCUUGGUGACCCUCUGCUUUACUGCAGAAAGAGACUGCUUUGGCACCCGGCAUCAGCAGCACAAUAUUGUGUAGAGGACUGAGGGUCUUCCAAAUAUUGAAAGUGUUAUUUUGUAAAAUUGUAUAUUUUUUUCCAUGUUUUUUCUCCAUUUUUUUGUAGGGGGAGUAUGUUAGAAUACCAUUUUGGUAUUUUGUAUAUAGUUAUUCCAUUCAAAAUGUUUAACUUCACCAAUUUGGCCACUUGGGUACAUUUGGGCUACUUGUGUGGGACACCUGGGUGACUUCAUGAUAAAUGUCAUGUAGCACACUCAUUUUGGAAGUUAUCAUUCUGAAACUUUGCACAAGUACUGUUGCCCUCUUAUGUUUUUCACUGAAAUUGUCCGCAUCAUCCUAUCUGAAUGUUUGUUUUGUCUUGUUCAUUUUAAAGAUGAUGAUACAACAAUAAAAAUGAAAAAACGUAUGGUUUUUUCAUUGUAUUAUCUAAACCAGAUAUAUUGUGUUACAUUCUCCUACAUUCAAUUCACAUUUACACAAACUUCAGAGUGUUUUCUUUCAAAUGAAAUCAAGAAUAUGCAUUUCCUUGGUUCUGAGCCUGAGCUACAGGCAGUUAGAUUUGGGUAUGUCUUCAGGCAGAAAUUGAAAAAAGUAGGGGGGUAGCUGUAAGAGGUUUUAACUAAAGUGACAUCAUAGUCAACAUUGCUAAUAGAACUAUCACAUUAGUAAACCCUCUACGAUCAUGCAGUAACGUUACAGUGUACAGUCAGUAAGCGUGCCCCGGUGGCAAUAUAUUUGUAAAACCAAAAGCUUACCUUGACACAGAAGAGUUAUAGUGUUGUGUUGGAUAGUCAUAGCCAGCUAGCUAACAUAGCAUCCCUCAGUUUGAGCAGGGUUUUUGAGUAGGCUCAACUAGUUAUGUGCAUUUGAAACUGAAAGUGAAAAAAAAGACUCUCUCUUCAUCUCUUUUUUUAGGAAGAAAUUCAUUUGUUUAAAAUAGUUCAAUUAUUGUCGUUCUCUCUCUUUGAAUAAGCUGUUCA
rnacentral:lncRNA from 13 species